rnacentral:rRNA from 1 species
GAGGGUGAUGCCUGCCCAAUGGUUGUAUCUAAAAGCGGUUGAUAAAAGUCGACCUCGUAAGGACAAUUGAAUGGCCGCGGUAACACUGACCGUGAUAAUGUAGCGUAAUCAAUAGCCAAUUAAUUGUUGGCCAGUAUGAAUGGCGCCACGAAGGCCCCACUGUCUUAAGGAAAUUCCCAGUGAAAUUGAAUUCGUAGUGAAGAUGCUACGUCCAAUUUGUUAGACGAAAAGACCCCGUUGAGCUUUACUGGAGCACUUAUAUGGCCCCGGCCUUCCCAUGCCUGGGAACCGGCCGAAUUUAAAUGGGCGGCUUAGAUUAUGUGGCAGCCCCCCGCUGGGGCAAAUGAAACACCACUCCCCCAUGUCAAAGGGGCUAACCCCCCCCUUGGGGGGGACAGUGUAAGUAGGACAGUUUGGUUGGGGCGACCGCCUUUUAAAAAGUAACGAAGGUGCGCUUAAGGUGUGCAAUUAAUGACUGAAGCCUGACUGCGAGGGGGGUACCCCGAGCAGACACCCCUAAGCCCGCCCGAAGGGCGGCGGUGGGGUGG